UGGACCUCUCCUCCAGGGGGAAGAUCAUAUGCUUCCAGACCACAGCUGACUGCAGUUUCCAUUUUGUCAUGUCUGCUGCAUCUGGGAAUGGAGGAGAUGACCUGCAGCAGAUAAUCCAGGCCAUGGUAGACAACGUGUGCUGACCGAUGUCUCCAGACUGAGAGACCGCUGCACUGAAACAGCUGCCGGGCCACCUGUGGAGAGCAGCACAGCUGGGCACAUGAAGCGGAGUUCGUUGAAAAUGUAGCUCCAGCAGGCAGGAAAUGGAACAGAGGCUGGAAUGAAGAUGUUACUCGAGGCCAGUGCUUCUGAAGAAUCGAAUCAGAAUAAUCCUACUCCUGCCAGUUAUUAUUACAGAUUUUAAGGCUCUUCUCAUUGCACUAUGAAGUUCUGCGUUUGAGUUCAUGUGUUAAUUAAUCUCAAGAACCUCCUGAGAACCAUGGGAUAACGCAUUAACAAUUUCUUUAAAGCAAGUUGCUGCUGGAAUUCAUUCUUACCCGUUGAUCUGUAAAACAAGAACUUGACAAGUUUCAGGUCUCCACAGAAAUCUCACCCGCCUGAUUGGGCCCCAUUUCUACAAAACAUUUUAUGUUUGUGAAUGAGCCACAUUUCACUACUUGUGAUUCAAGAAAGAUUUUUAUGUGAAUGGACUUACUUUGUGGAAAUUGAUUGCUUUAAAAAAAUUAAGAUCUCUUUAUUAACCUGGAAAG